rnacentral:rRNA from 1 species
AUUGAACGCUGGCGGCGUGCUUAACACAUGCAAGUCGAACGGUAACAGGUGUAGCAAUACAUGCUGACGAGAGGCGGACGGGUGAGGAAUAUUUGGGAAUCUGCCCAUCAGCGGGGGACAACCCGGGGAAACCCGGGCUAAUACCGCGUACGCUCUACGGAGGAAAGCCGGGGACCGCAAGGCCUGGCACUGAUGGAUGAGCCCAAAUCGGAUUAGCUAGUUGGCGGGGUAACGGCCCACCAAGGCGACGAUCCGUAGCUGGUCUGAGAGGACGAUCAGCCACACCGGAACUGAGACACGGUCCGGACUCCUACGGGAGGCAGCAGUGGGGAAUAUUGGACAAUGGGGGAAACCCUGAUCCAGCGACGCCGCGUGGGUGAAGAAGGCCUGCGGGUUGUAAAGCCCUUUCGGUAGGGACGAAAGCUCUUGCUCUAAUAAUGCAAGAGGUUGACUUAACCUACAUAAGAAGCACCGGCUAACUCUGUGCCAGCAGCCGCGGUAA